rnacentral:rRNA from 1 species
GAUGAACGCUGGCGGCGUGCCUAAUACAUGCAAGUCGAGCGAACAGACGAGGAGCUUACUCCUCUGACGUUAGCGGCGGACGGGUGAGUAACACGUGGAUAACCUACCUAUAAGACUGGGAUAACUUCGGGAAACCGGAGCUAAUACCGGAUAACAUGUUGAACCGCAUGGUUCAACAGUGAAAGACGGUCUUGCUGUCACUUAUAGAUGGAUCCGCGUCGCAUUAGCUAGUUGGUAAGGUAACGGCUUACCAAGGCAACGAUGCGUAGCCGACCUGAGAGGGCGAUCGGCCGCACUGGAACUGAGACACGGUCCAGACUCCUACGGGAGGCAGCAGUAGGGAAUCUUCCGCAAUGGGCGAAAGCCUGACGGAGCAACGCCGCGUGAGUGAAGAAGGUCUUCGGAUCGUAAAACUCUGUUAUUAGGGAAGAACAAAUGUGUAAGUAACUAUGCACGUCUUGACGGUACCUAAUCAGAAAGCCACGGCUAACUACGUG